rnacentral:lncRNA from 10 species
GGUCAUUUAUAACCUGAAGUGUCCACCCUUCUGCUGUGUCCAGUUUCCACUGGCUGGAACAGGACCUCACAUUCUGUACUCUACCCGAAUGGCUAGCAACUUAGAACUUCUCAAAAGAGGCAAACGCAGAGGAGAACAAAGGAAGAGAGGAAGUAACUUAUGGAAUGCUGAGAGAGGCAAAAACACUUCCAAAUAAGGAAAAGGAGUAGGCUGUGACCUAAUGCUUGCUUGGACUGGUUCAGGCAUGCCAGGGCAAAUAUCUAGGCUAAAAUGUAAGAGCUAAGAACAGAGUAUAUUGAUUUCUUUAUUACGGCUAACAGAAUUUAAGAAUAUCAGCACAGGUCUCUGAGUAAAUUUUGCUUCUAAGAGAGGUUACUAUCUAUUCUUAAUUAGACUGGGAGGAAAGUCCCUUUGAAGAGGAACCUGUAUUUAUUUAAUUUUCUACACUCUGUUUCUCCACUCCCUCCAGAGGAAUCUGCUUCUAUCAAUAUUGGGUAGGUGAUCCCUAGACUUAGCCUCCAAAAUGAACUGAUUCUUGUUGUCUGUUCCUCUUCCCACUUUACUAAAUCAUUUACAGAGAUGCCUCAAAGGGGAAC